rnacentral:lncRNA from 1 species
GGUGCCGCCUUGCAGUUUGAUCUCAGACUGCUCUGCUAGCAAUCAGCAAGACUCUGUGGGCGUAGUACCCUCCGAGCCAGGUGCGGGAUAUUAUCUCGUGGUGCACCGUUUUUUAAGCCCGUCGGAAAAGUGCGGUAUUCCGGGUGGGAGUGACCCGAUUUUCCAGGUGCCAUCCGUCACGCCUUUCUUUGACUCAGAAAGGGAACUCCCUGACCCCUUGCGCUUCCCAAGUGAGGCAAUGCCUCCCCUGCUUCGGCUCGUGCAUGGUGCGCGCACCCACUGACCUGCGCCCAUUGUCUGGCCCUCCCUAGUGAGAUGAACCCGGUACCUCAGAUGGAAAUGCUGAAAUCACCUGUCUUCUGUGUCGCUCACGCUGGGAGCUGUAGACCGGAGCUGUUCCUAUUCGGCCAUCUUGGCUCCUCCCGGGUCCUAUUUCUUAAUAGAAGCAGGCUCCUGCUCUGAAACUCUAUUAAUCUGAACCAUUUAUAGCAACAUCAAAAGAGAUGCAAG